rnacentral:rRNA from 1 species
GAAUUGCAGAAUUCAGUGAAUCAUCGAAUCUUUGAACGCACAUUGCGCCCGGCAGUAAUCUGCCGGGCAUGCCUGUCCGAGCGUCAU